UGGAGACCGUGAUCGGGAACGAGAUCGCAAUGGAAUGGGUGGUGGCAAAGGUGGCCGCUCUGGAAAGGGCGCAGGCCGAA
rnacentral:RNase_MRP_RNA from 1 species